rnacentral:lncRNA from 1 species
GAUUCCGUUCACAUUGUUUAUACAUAGGCUUUCAAGGAUCCGUGGUGCCCCACAGUUUCCAAUUCUCUUCCCUUAUCAAAAGAUGGCAAUGAUCUUACCCGCUUUCGUGGGAAGAUACAUGAAGAAACUCGCAGAUUUCGUAGAGGGUGAGGUGUCAAUCAUGCUCGGAGUGAAGGAUGAGCUCCAGAAGCUUCAGAGAAGACUGGAAAGGAUGAGAGGUUUUCUUGAGCAAGCAGAGCGGAAGAGGCAUGAAGACACAAACAUCAGUAAUUGGGUGGGGGAGUUGAAAGAUAUCAUGUAUGAUGCGGAUGAUAUCAUCGACCUUUGUAUCAUCGAAGGCGGCAAAUUAUUGGAAAGCCAUCAGCCCGUUUCUGCGGUAUGCCAUCCCUUCCCUUUAUUUUCUUGCUUCGGUUGUAUGAAGUUCCGCUAUGAAAUUGGUGACAAAAUUAGAGAUCUUAAUAAGAGGCUGAAAGAGAUUGCAGAGGAUAGAUCAAUAUUGCCUAAACUAGAAAACCCUAACCAAGAUGUCCAAGAGAGCGGAGUGAAUGCGCGUCAGACUUUUCCCAUUGAGGCCAAUUCUGAUAUCGUAGGGACACAAAUUGAAGAGGCAACCCAAAGUCUUGUGGAGUCGUUAGUCAAAGAAGAUAAACAAAAAUCCUGGAUUUGGGGGAUUGUUGGGAUGGGUGGAAUCGGCAAAACUACUCUCGCUUCGAAUAUAUACAAUGAUGAAAGUAUAAAAGAAAACUUUCCUAUACGAGUAUGGGUGUGUGUUUCCAAGAAUUUUUCAGACACACAAUUGCUGCAAGAGAUAAUUAGGAGCGCANNNNNNNNNNNNNNNNNNNNNNNNNNNNNNNNNNNNNNNNNNNNNNNNNNNNNNAACUCAUACCCAUUCUUUCCCGUGUCCUUUCUAGAAGGUUCAUUGUUGUAUUAGAUGAUAUAUGGGAAGCAAAAGUAUGGGAGGAUCUGCUCAGAUAUCCUUUGGAAAGUGCAGCGGCUGAUGGUAGGAUUGUGAUCACCAGUCGAGACAUAAAUGUGGCUAAGAAUAUGAGAGCACGUGUCCACCAUGUUGACAAAAUGGAUAGCAAUGAAGGCUGGCAAUUGUUCUGCAAGAAAGUCUUUAGAGAUGACGAGAAGGAAGAGAUCAUCAAUUUAAAAGAAAUUGGGAUGAAAAUUGUUGACAAAUGUGAUGGUCUUCCUCUUGCAAUCAAGACCAUUGCAGGAGUUUUAAGGUCGAAGGAGAGAACCAGCAUAGCAUGGAAUAACGUUCUCAGAAGUGAUGCAUGGUCUAUGAGCCAACUUCAGACAGAACUCCCAGGAGCCUUAUUUUUAAGCUAUGAAGAUUUAUCAUCGGAUCUUAAACAAUGUCUCCUUUUUUGCUCGUUAUAUCCUGAGAAUUUUUCGAUGACUUGUGAUCAACUUGUUCGGUUCUGGUUGGCUGAAGAUUUUGUAAAAUCACAAGGAGAUGUAUUGUUAGAAGAUUUAGCCGAAGAUUACUAUAAAGAGUUGAUUUGCAGAAAUCUUUUACAGCCAGAUUCUAAAUACGUAAGUCAGAGGGUGUGCACAAUGCACGAUCUGCUGCGUUCUCUUGCUCUGUUUUUGAUAGGAGAUGAGAGUACUUUUGUUGGUGAUGGAAAAACAUGCACCACAAACCCCUUGACCAAGCUUCGUCACUUGUCAAUUUCAAAUGUGGGAGAGAGGCUAGAAAUCCCUGAUGCAGUGAAAAAGCAGAAAUGCUUGAGGACUCUAAUAGCCUGGAACAGUCCCAAGACAAAGAUAGUUGAGCAUGAACUUGGAAGACUCGAGCAGCUACGAGUUUUGGACUUGACCGGUACAGGACUGGAGAGCCUUCCAGACUCGGUGGGAAACCUAUUACAUCUAAGGCACUUGAAUCUUGAUCGAACAAAUGUCAAAAAGUUACCAGAGUCUAUCAGACGCCUUCAAAAUCUGCAGAUCUUGAGUCUCUCGGGCUGUCAAUCCUUGCACAUGCUUCCCAAGACUAUCACAACUUUGUCCAAUUUAAGAUGCCUUCGCCUCUAUGAAACUCCGGUGAGCCAUCUCCCAAGAGGAAUAGGCAAACUGACACAUCUCAACAAUCUUGAAGGAUUUGUGGUCGGUGAUGAUGGAGGCAAGCAAGACCAGGGGUGCAAUUUGGAGGAGCUGCAAUCUCUGUCCCAGCUGAGAGCGCUGAAGAUAGUUAGGUUAGAAAGGUCACGAGCAGGAGUUUCAACGCUUCAAAACAGCUGCUUUCUUAGAAGAUUGUUUUUGAGGUGGCUGCCACCCGAAGCUGAGAACAAUCAGCCACGAUGUGGAGAGGAUGCAGUCCAAAAUGUGAACAAGAUAUGCAACGAUCUCUCUCCUCCAUCCAGCCUAGAAGAGCUUAGGUUGGAUAACUUCUUUGGUAGUGGGUUUCCGGGCUGGUUGAUGUCAUCCUCAUUGGGCGCCUGCUUUCCUCACCUGGCAUUCUUGGCCCUUAUUGAUUGUAAAUCAUGUCCGAAACUUCCUCCACUAGGCCUAUUGCCCCAGCUAAAAUUCCUUCGGAUUUCAGGGGCAGACGCAAUCGUAACGAUCGGACCCGAGCUUCUUGGUCGCCGUUCCUCAGCAAUAACUGCAUUUCCUAGGCUUGAAUUCUUGGUGCUCACACACAUGCGCAACUGGAAAGAAUGGUCAUUUGGCGUGGUGGAAGAGAUUGGCGAUGAAAUAAGAGGAGCCUCUAAGCUGCUGCCGCAUCUCAAGGCCCUGCAUCUACAGGACUGCCCCGAGCUAAUAGCUCUUCCAGAAGGUCUGGCGCAUGCCACCAACUUGCAGCGCUUGCAAAUUCUGGACGCCCACAACCUGAGAGAAAUCAAGAACCUCCCCUCCUUAACUGAUACGCUCCACAUCGAGAGAAACCUGAGGUUGGAAAGAGUAUCCAACUUUCCCUCGCUGAAAUCUUUGCAAAUACUGAAUUGUUCGAGGUUACAACACGUGGAGAAUCUUGCUAAGUUGCAAUUCCUGUGCCUGGAACAUCCUUCUACAGCACAGGGGACCUCAGAGAUAUCAGUGCAAGAAACGGAGUGCCUCGCAUCGCAGACGUUUCCAGUAAUCUUGAUCAACAAACAAAGCACCUCCCACAGUGGUUACCGAACCUACUCGGGCAGCAUCAAAAUGCUCCGACUGGGAUGCAGAAACUUAGAAUAUUUGGACUGAAAUGCAGCUCACCACUGUUUGAGAGCUUCCUUAAGGAUCCGCCAAAUUGGCCCAUCAUUCAGUGGAUCCCUGAGGUCUGGAUCCACCACAUAGGUGGUUCUUCAUGGAUACGGUAUACCAAGGGACCCCCUUCCACCGUUCAAACCAACGUGCAACCAAAAGAGUUGACGAGUGACCUCUCUUGAGCAAGGUGAUUGAUACUUCCAUUACGUUUACAUUUCCCUCAUUAAUUUGUUUAUCACCAUUAGACCAGCUGCCAUAUAUAGAUGCCGUUAAUCUCAUAUAUAUUAAUUUUCUCUAUUCCCAGAUACAAUUUCGUGCGGAUUUAGCAGUUGGGAUGGACGUGCUCAGUGUUUUUACCUUUUUUUCGUCAUGUAAACUUUGUAUUGGACUUGGAUAUCUACUCUGUACUUUCUGUUUCUGUGUUUUGAUGGUAUUAUAUCAUUAUCCUGAAUGUAACCUUAAGAAUUCAUAUGCAAUAAAUCAUGAUUUCAUUCACCCUCUCCAUCUUUUCUAUUUAUUUUUCCUUCUAUAUCUUUUUUUUUGUUUUAAAAGGAUCCUUCUCGAUCGAUCUUGGAGAUAAACUUCUAUUGUUUGAUCUCGGUACUUCUUUUAUGAUACUUUUGCGAUUAAAGAUUGGUCAGAUGUAUAAAAACCUAUGAUCAUAGUGGCUUAUAUUUGAUUGAGCAUCUACUUUUUUUGAAAAAGUUGUGUGAAAUAUCUUUUAUACUCUUAAGGAUAGUUCUUGAGAAAGAAAAGAUCUCAAUUUUCGAAUGGUAGAAAAGUAGCUUUUCCAGGCCACUCUUGAGUUUUUCAUUUUUAUGAAAGAUGAGAAUCUUAUUUUCAGAGGAAUACUACUCUUUUUUUUUUGAAAACUUCAACUAAAUAAGUGGCUUUUCUUCGUUUUUCGUAGACCACAUUUUUCAUCUUUCUUUCCCUGCGAACCAAACGAGUCCUUCCCUAUUAUAUUUUGAUCCAAAUAUUAUAAUGAUUAAUGUAAUAACUAUAAAUUUGGUCUUAUAAAUAGCCUCUUGACGGGCUUUGAAAAAUCCUUUUAGGAAGAAGCUCUAAAUUAGAGCUUUUGCCAAGUAGAGAUUUUUUAACUUCUAGGAAGAUUAAAAAAUUGUUUCGGGGUUUUUACCAAAUACACAUAUAUAGGCUAGAAGUACUUUUCGGGCUUCCCUUCAAAAGAUAUUCCGAAGGAGGACUUAGCAUCAAGGAAGAAAUUGUUGCUCACAAUGGGACUCUUACUUCGAAUUUCUUUGUUUUGUGCUAAAAUGACACCUUCUAAGCCACCUAAAUUGCCUACUUGAUCAUCUAGAUUGCCAAAGUGUUCUAUGACAAGAAUAUAGGUGCCUGAUAUUCCAAGGUGGCAAUCCAUGAUUUUGACCAUCAACCCAACUUGCAACAACUAUCCUAAAUUAACCAGAUUCAAAUUUUAUAAAAAUAAGUUCGGAUCGUAAAUAUGUUAGUCUGACUUGACCCAUUUAUUAAAAAGGCUAGUUUUAGAUUCAGAGUCCGAAACCAUUUAAAUAUUGAUCCAUCUAAUAGUUGCCUCAAGUUAAUAUAAUUACAAUCUGACCCAUUUAAGAAUCAUUUAUUUGAUUUAUUUAUUCAGUGGGUUAGGAAGGCAACGAUGUGUUACCUAUGUAAUAAAUAGGUUGGAUUAUGUUAUGGAUUUUUGGCUUGUCUAAGAAAUAGGUGGGGCUCGUAUUAACAUAUUUUUAGUCCCACUAGUAUUUGAUCCAUAUUUGAUCCAAUCCUUUAAUUUACUUCUAUAAAUAAUUUAAGAAUAAAGGGUAUAUUUGCCAUUAUAGAAUUUCAUAUACUAUAAAAGUACGACAUGGCAAUGUAUGACCAUCAUUGGACCUAUUAGAUUUGCUUCUAAUUUUUUCAUUUCCAAAGUGUGAUUUUAGUGGUGGGAUGGAUAUAAUCACAAACAUAACCUUUCAUUCUAUAUAGUUUUUAAAAAACUUUAUUUUAUUUUUUCUUUUCCGACUAGGAGUCUAAGCAACCACUCUGCCGUGAAAACUUAAAAAAUUGACUCAUUUAGUAAGAUGAGCAUCUUUAGUAUUUUUUUUGUAUAAUAUUGUGGAUCCUCUUAUAUUUACAAAAACAAAAUACUCAAGAAGGCUGUAAAUCCAGAAUUUGGUUAGACCCAAAAUGCCAACUUUUCUCUUUUAAAACCAUUUUUGGGAGCAUUUUAGAGACAACAUUUUUCUUAUAAUAAAAAUUUUAGAAGCAUGUUUGCACGAUAGAGCUACAUAUUCCAUCAGUUUGGUUAGGAGAGUCUCAUUUGCAAUCUGAUUUUUAAAAAAAAAUUGAAAAUAUACGCAUCCUUCAAAAUUUAAUUCUGACACUUAAAAAAAUACAAAUCUAAUCCCAUCAUAAAAAAUAUUUUUUAAAUAUAUUUAUAUAAUUAAUUAAUUUUUCACAUUUCUCUUCUAAGAAUCCAAAUCUAUUUAAAUCCACGAUCAAUCUAUAGUCAGUCUCAAUGGGUCAUGCUGCAAGACCUCACCCAAAAAGACUAGCCAAAAGAUAUCAUUUAGACUUUUGACUAGCCUUUUUGGGUAAAGUAGCGGUUGGGACAAAUGGUAUUAGAGCUGACCUGGCCUAUGAUCUAUGUGGACUAGAGGAUACUACAGUACGGGUUCAUGGAGGUUGAUUAUGGAUCGAUCGUGGUGUUUGUGAUUAGAUUUGAAUGAAUUUGAACCUUCAACCUAGCAAGAAUGUGAUAGCUAAGGCUGCAAAUGGAUCGGGUCGACCUGUGACCCGACCCGACCUGAAAGCUCUAAGGGGAGUAGGAAGGAUAGCAACAGGCAUAGGUUCCCAGAAUCCAAUGGAACCUCGGCCCGUCAGGAUUCUCUCUCGAUCUAUUACACUAUUGAUGCCUCUGUCUCGGUAGCUUGGUUUUUUUUUUUCCUUCUGUUUUUUGGUUUUUAUUUCUUUUAACUUUUGAAGGGAGAAAGUGAGGGAACGCUGAACUGAAUAUGGGUCAUGUGCCAGUUUUCUGCAAUGGAAUUGGAUUUUGGAAGAAGGUCUCGGAUUUUUUUUGCCCUCGUGAGAGGGGAGCUGGGAGACACCAAGUUCCGUCCAAUCAGUCAUAUAGAUAAAAAAUAGUGUGAUAUGAAAUUUGGCUUGUAGACCGACUUAGUUAGCACGUCACGGGUCAUCCAUUCUGACUGGAGGUCAAUUGCAAGUCCUUCAAGCCAUGGGUCACCCAGCACCUUAUAACUAUGAUAUGACCAAAUUAGAUUUGCCUAAAUUCUUUUCGAAAAGCGCAAAAAAAAUGGAUCCGAUUUGGACCCGGACCCGAUUCGGACCUGACUCGGAUCCGACCCGAUCUUCAACCGGGUCAGAUCUGGAACCAAAAUUAGGAUCCGAAAAAAAAACUCGGAUUGGCUCAGGGUCACUUAGGACCCGACCCGACUCAUUUGCAUCCCUAGUGAUAGUUUAAAACAGAAGGAGUAUGUAAGGACUCAUAUAAGCAUGUGUUUAGUUCUACAUCGGUUAUUCGUUGGAUAGAUCUUAGUUACUUAUACAAAAUCAAGGAACUCAAAUGAUACCUUCUAGCUAGUCUUUUUGGAUGAGAAUCUGGAUUGUGACAAAUAAUAUCAGAGCGGACCUGGCCCAUAGUCCAUACGGACUAGAGGCUCUAUAGCACAGGCUCUUUGAGGCUGACCACAGGCCGAUCGUGGUACUUGUGAUUAGAUUUGAUUUAAUUUGGACCCUUAGCCGAAGAGGACGUCAAGGCUUAAUGAGAAAAAUAUGUGAGAACUAAGAAACUCCAAAAAUACCUUUUAACUAGUCAUUUUGAGUGAGGACCUUGUUGUUAUAUAUUCCCCAUUAUAACGAAAAUAACAACUAAUAUUUGGCCAAUUGAAUUAUAAGUUAAAUUACUGGUUAUAAAAUAAUGGACGGCAUGAUAGCUGUAAUUAGCUAUUAUAAUACAAAGUAGCUGAUGAUAACAGCUGAUUAACAAAUGGUGGUGCUAUGGCGUGAUGAUAACUAAUUAAAUAAAACCAAUACAGCCGACAAGGGGAAUCUGGUGCUGUAGAGUUGUCCUUUUCCUUCUUUUUUUAAUAAGCAAUGGUGGAAGAAGUAUUUAUCAAUAAAGUAGUUUUGCUUUAGGUCCCUUUCCUUUCUUCUAACAAGCGUCUUUACUUUCUUUUUCUGUGGCGAUUCCGUUCACCUUGUUUAUACAUAGGCUUUCAAGGAUCCAUGGUGCCACACAGUUUCCAAUUCUCUUCCCUUAUCAAAAGAUGGCAAUGAUCUUAGAUGCUUUUGUGGCACGAUACAUGAAGAAACUCGCAGAUUUCGUAGAGGGUGAGGUGUCAGUCAUGCUCGGAGUGAAGGAUGAGCUCCAGAAGCUUCAGAGAAGACUGGAAAGGAUGAGAGGUUUUCUUGAGCAAGCAGAGCGGAAGAGGCAUGAAGACACAAACAUCAGUAAUUGGGUGAGGGAGUUGAAAGAUAUCAUGUAUGAUGCGGAUGAUAUCAUCGACCUUUGUAUCAUCGAAGGCGGCAAAUUAUUGGAAAGCCAACAGCCCGUUUCUGCGGUAUGCCAUCCCUUCCCUUUAUUUUCUUGCUUCGGUUGUA